rnacentral:rRNA from 1 species
UACGGGGGGGGGCAAGCGUUGUUCGGAAUUACUGGGCGUAAAGGGCUCGUAGGCGGCCAACUAAGUCGGAUGUGAAAUCCCCAGGCUUAACCUGGGAACUGCAUCCGAUACUGGAUGGCUUGAAUCCGGGAGAGGGAUGCAGAAUUCCAGGUGUAGCGGUGAAAUGCGUAGAUAUCUGGAGGAAUACCGGUGGCGAAGGCGGCAUCCUGGACCGAGAUUGACACUGAGGAGCGAAAGCCAGGGGAGCAAACGGG